rnacentral:rRNA from 1 species
UACGGAGGGUGCAAGCGUUAUCCGGAUUCACUGGGUUUAAAGGGUGCGUAGGUGGGUUGGUAAGUCAGUGGUGAAAUCUCCAGGCUUAACUUGGAAACUGCCAUUGAUACUAUCAAUCUUGAAUACCGUGGAGGUCAGCGGAAUAUGUCAUGUAGCGGUGAAAUGCUUAGAUAUGACAUAGAACACCAAUUGCGAAGGCAGCUGGCUACACGAAUAUUGACACUGAUGCACGAAAGCGUGGGGAUCAAUCAGG